rnacentral:lncRNA from 1 species
UACACUCUCAGUGACAGUGGUGGUGAUGGUGGUGGUCUCCACAACAGUAGUGUGAGUAAUUAGCUCCUCUCCCACAUUUGAAGAAUCAACAACAGCAGGCAACACCGUAGGUUCAACAUCUUGAUCCAUGGCCGAUGCACUAUUGUCAUACUUACUGCUGUCAUCAACCACACCCUCCAGAACCUUUUCUGCCUUUUCCCUUUCAAUCGGUUCAACUGAACCAACAUUCUCCUCAACAGCUUCAAAUUUUUCCUCAUUCCCCCUUUCAUCAACAGCUACAGCAUCCUCAGAAACAAUCUCAGAAUCUUUGAGUUCGGCUUCAUUAUCAUGACCCUCCAAACCAUUCACCUCCUUCUCGGAAGCCUCAGCAGCAUCCCUUUCAGCACGAAGGGCGUCAUCCAAACGUCUGACUAAAUCAUUCUUCAAACCAGUGGUAGUUAGCCUCCUCCUCUUCAGCUCCUCUUUCAACUCUGUAACCUUCCACUGAUGAAUCGGCUUCGACGACAUUAUAUCCAAAUUCAAGAUCACAAAUCACUUUCCUUCACCUGCACUGACAAUUAAAUUUGAUACAAUAAAAAAAUUAUAAAGAAAACACCAACUAUCAAUUCAACCAAAGACAGGGUUUAUCCUAAAAUCACUAACCAAUUAUUUGAUAAAAAUACAACCUUUCCUUAAAGAAUGAUACAAAAUAGAACAAUGAAAAAAAAACAAAAAUAACCACUUAGAAAUGCAUUUUCUAAGCAAAUAACAAGUAGUAAAAGCGUAACGAAAAUUUAAAAAAUAAACAAAAUACAAAAAGAUAUUCAAUUUAUGAAUAGAAAAAGACAAUACCGCAAAGGGUUAUAGCAAUUACUUACUCAGAAUGACGAUUUGAUGAUAAUGAAGAAAAUAGGGUUAGCGUUGUUGCGAUUUUGGAAACCCUAAUUUCAGAACAAAAGCGAGAACUAGAGAAGAAGAAGAAGAAGAAACAGAGGUAUCGAAAUUGAAGAUUGUUCAAUGAACCGAAACGAAUGCACUCUUUCUAUUGAAUCUUUCGUACUCGUUUCAUUUCGUUAUUUUCCUGAAAACAACGAAAGAGAAUGUAUAAAACAAAAAGAAAAUGGAGAGAAAGAAAUGCAAGAGAAAUUAAAUUUCAGUAAUGAAAAAAUUGUUUCAGAAUUUUGAAGAAAUAAAAAGGGUUAAGAUUUGUUUGGAUGUGAAAUUUGGGAAUUUGGGAAGAGAGAAACUGUUUUCAUGAUUCAUCUAUCUAACUUGUUGUUUCUUCUUUUUGUUUAUUUUUCUCUCUUAUUUUUACUUUUUUAGUCCUUUUUCUUUUAUUUGUUUGUGAAGUAGUGGUAUAUAUAUAUAUAUAUAUAUAUAUAUAUUCAAUAUCUAUAAGCAUUUCACAUUCUUAAAACUAGCGUGUCGACGGACACUUCGUACCUGCCAAUUUACAUUUUUAUUUCAUAAUAUUAAAUAUUUAAGAGAAUCGUAUUAUAUUUUUUAUGAUAAAAAAAUAUGAAAAUAAAUUGAAAUUCUUUUAAAAAAAACUACAUUAACAAUAUGAUAUUUAUAGAUAUGUAACUUUCUCUAACUCCUAUUAAUAUUUUUUUAAUAUGUAUAAAACCAUUGUAAUAAUAUUUAAUUAGAAAGGUAAAAUAGGCAACAAGAAGUUACACCAUAUUAAGUAGUUAUAAGAUAUUUUAGCUUUAUAUAUAGUGUAGAUAUAAAAAUGAGAUAAAAUAAUAACUGAUUUAACAUUAAAAACCCACACUUGUAAUAGGCAGAAUCUUUUCAUUAACAGCACAUAUAAUAAAAUAGUGUAAUAUAUAUUUAGUAUAAAGAUUUAUACAUAAUCAUUAUAUUAUUUAUUAAUUAUUUGUAUUAUUUAUAUAUAAGUCAAUAAUUAUCAAAUAUAAAUAAUGGAUAAUACAUAGAAAAUUCUUACAUUAUUAAUAUAUACAUUUUUUAUCUUAAAAAACUAUAAGAUAUAAAAUAAUAUGAGUAUCCAACUUUAAAUAGACCUAUAAAAUCGGACAUGGCCAAAAUCUACAUAACUAAUAAUAGAUCCCUAAGAAGACGAUUUUAAAUAAGAGUGAUAAAGGGGUGGAUUUAGAUGUUAAUGGAUAGACAUAAAGUCAUUCAUUAAUUCAUAUAAAUUAAUUUAAUUAUAUUUUAAUCCAUAUGAUUCAUCCAUAACUCCAUUUCAUGAAUUUAGAUAGAUGGAUAUCCAAACCAUUUGAUUUUUUUAAGUGAACUAAAAAAUAUAUUGGAGAUAGUUAUUACUUUAAAAACUACUAUUUCAACUAAACAUUUUUAAUAUCACCCAUUAAGAAAAACUUAUAAAACACUUUAGAAAUAAUUUUUUUGAAAAGUCGUUUUUUAAACUUUUAUAAAGAAAUUUUGUAUUCAAUAUUCUACGAACAUGUGACGUUUAAGAUUACUUGUAAAGUGUUUAAUAAAUACUUAUAGAGUGUAAUAUUUAUUAAUAAUGUAAAAGUUUAUGAGUAGAGAUCCACUUACUCCAAUAAUAAGUUUUUAAACUUAUUCCCCACCAUAAUCAUCAAUUUUAUGGAUAUCGAAUGGUUUAGAUCUACUCACUAAUUAAAAUCAUUUAAUCUCACUAGAAUUGAUGAAUAAGAUGAAAGAGUAUUAAGUAGAUCUCUCCUCACAAUUUAUAUAUAAUCACUACAUCAUACAUCAUUAAUUUGAAUUACUUUUUUUAAUAGUCACGUAUGAUUAAAUAUAAAUAAUGAAUGAUGCAGUAACAAUGUAUAAAACUCAUAAAUUAGUCAAUGCAUACAUUUUUCUCAUACUUAUAUAUGUCAUGUAAUUAACAAUAAAAUUUUAAUAUUAAUUAUAUACACAUGUCCUAUAAUUGAUUCAGUUUAAUAAAAUAUUAAAAGUGAGACUGAAAUCAUACAUAUAUUUACUUGAAUUUAGUUUUUUUAAAUAUUGAAUGAAAUUGAAAAGGCAAAGAAAAUCAUUUUUGUUUUUUGAUGGAUUGGAUAUCCAUUCAAAUAGAUAUACACAUGAAUAUCCAUUAGAUAUAAUUGAUGGAUUUGAAUGCAUCCAUUAUCAACAUUAUUCAUUGAAUUAUAUUCAUUUAAAUCAUUAGCUCUAACUGAUGAAUUUAAUUUGGAUGGAUUAUAGAUUGUGUAUAAUUUUGUCACCUCUAAUUUUUAAACUUCAGCACCACAUACAUAAUUAACACUAGCGUAUCGACAGACACUUCGUAUCUACUUAUUCACAUUCUUAUUUAAUGGUAUUAGGUAUUUUUAUUAAAUAUUUAACUUGUAUUAUCAUUCUACCACUAUAGUAUAAUUUAUAUAUUACCUUAAUAUUCUUUAAUUUAUACCAAAAAAAAAAUAUAAUCACCCAAAUAUAAUAAUUGAAAAUUGAAAUCACUUCUUUCAUUUUAAAUUAGAAAUUCUAAUAAGGACAAAAAAUUAUAAUAUAAAAUACAUCUACUACAAAAAAAAUUAUAAUCCUCCAAAAUUAAAUAUAUGAAAAAUUACUUAAUAGCAUAAAUUAAGAAUGUAAACAAAUAGGGAGGAAGUACCUCUCACAUGCUAGAACACUUGUGUUGACUAGGGUUGACCCACAUUCUUAUUUUUAGAGAAUUGUAAUUUUUUUGUAUAUUUAUUAUAAUAUAAGGUAAGAUAUAUGGCUAUUAUAUUAAUGUUAGUUACCUAAAUUAUAUAAUUUAUUUAUAGAUACUACAAAACAUUAUGGACAAAAUUAGUCUAUAAUGAUAAUCUGACCAUAUUUUUAUAGAAAACCACACUCUUUAUAAUCAAAAUUUUCCUGUCCAUGUUUAAUUAUAUGGUAUUUAGAUAAAUAAUUUCUAGUGGAGGCAAAGGGUAUAAAUUAUAUAGUCCAGCUAGCCCAAUGCUAAAUUAAGCUCGUACAAAAACAAACCUUAUAAAUUUGACAUUAAUAAUUUGUGAAUAACUUCAAUUUUUAUAUAUAUAUUAUAAGACUCUUUUUCAUGUUCUCUUUUAGCAUAUAAUAAAAGUUUAGAUGUGAUAAAAGAAAAUAUUACUCAUUUUUAAAGGAUAUGCAUGAAUACCAACACGGUAUUGGUGUAAUGACGUACAGUCUCAUGAGAUCUUCAGAUAAGACAAAAUGUCAAAUAUUCGACUAUUGUGAGUAACAAAAAAAGGAGAUAUACAUGAACUCAAUUUAGCUCAACUUAAUUGCAUGUAAGUUUUUUUGUACUACCAAAGAGUAUCCCUCACCCUUUUAGAUACGAAACUAAUCUCUUUCGAAGUGCGUGAUAAUCCCUCCCAAUUCUCGAAAUUAUCCAGCCAUCACCAUUAAAAUCUUAACUAUUCCCAGGAGGACUUUUAUGAAUGGUCAUGUCUAUGAAACUUGUAGAUGAUCAUCAAAUUGGAACUACAAGUCUACAAACCAAACCACCAACAAAAUGAUUGAUGAGUAAGAUAGUUCAUCUUUCAUCUGUUACUGCUGCAUUAUUUAGAUCCUACACUAUUUGCAACAAAAGCAUACAUUUUUUUAGAUCCUACCCUCUUUGCAACAAAGCAUUUUCAUUGGGGAUUGCACACAACAGCACAAAACAUUUGCACAUAAACUAGAUUUUCUUACUAUUUUUUGGUACAUAGAAUUACUAUCGGAUUCCACAACUGCAUUAGCAUUAGUCUACCACUCUUUUAAUUUUUUAACCUACACAAAUCAGCCAUAAUUUAUAUGGGUUCAUUAGACUUAAUACUCUUGCUACACAUCAAAUGAUUCGUGGGGAUUAAAGAAAACAGUAUCCUAAACCAACAGGUUAAUACAAACAUAAUUAGCAUUCUUCUGAAGAAAACACUAUAUUGAUGAGAAAGCUAGGUGACAUGAGAGCAAAGAUACCACAAAUCAGUUUCAUGGCAUGAGAAAAACAAGAUUUAAUGCAUGGCAUCCAAGUUAAAGAUGUUUGGACAAAUGUUCACUAUAACAACAGGAGCAAUAAAUCCACUUAAAACAACUCUUAGUUUUAGAACGCUCCAAAACUAAAGAAAAUUCAGUCUCAAGAUGCAUAAAUGGCAUUUUUUUCGGAGGCAAACACUAGCAGACGAUGCUAAUCUGAACUGAAAAUACUUCCAUAACACUAUUAAUACUUCCAUAUUACUAACUAGCAAGAUGGUCAAGAACAAGAAAUCAGCAAAAGCUGCCCGGGAAUAAUAGUAGGCUAUAAUCGCCUACUGCCUGGAGCUUUUACCUUGUGCUGCAAGUUUUGCAGCAACUUCCUCUUCAGACAAAGGUAGAUAGUAGAUCCGAGGAGUUGCUUUGGUUUUGCGGAAGAGAUCAUCCAGAGUGACUGUAGGCAGGUCAGCUUUCUCAGGAAGGGGCGGUGGGGAUGGAAGUCGUUCUAUUCCUACUGGUGGCGGCUUUGACAAUGGUGGGGGAGGUGGGAGAGUAGGUGGAGGUGGAGGCAGCUCCCUGUGCUGACGGGGGGAAGGCUCUGGCUGUGAAGGUGGUGCGGGAGGAACAGCUGGACCACUACUGAUGGACGGAGCCUGACUAGGAGGAGGUUCUAACUUCAUCUUCACUUCUUCAGGCUCAACAUACUCAGCAAGUAAGAAGCGCCCGCCAUUUGGAGGCCAUUGCAGAUUAUACACAGCAUUCCGUGUCUCAAUGGCUUCUUCGGUGGAUGAGUACUACAUCACCACGAAAUCAACAAAGGUUACUGAGUUACUCGGAACGAUAUGCCAAAGUCGAAACGCAAUAACAUUACAUGAGAAUCAAGUCUUACAGUAACAUAGCAGUGGGUCUUUAUUUGGUCCAUCCAGAAACUGCUAACAUUCCCAGUCUUACCAAGAAGCUCUUGCACUGCCUUUAGGGUAAAAGGACGGAGGAAACGGUCAAUCCUGAGGGAAUUAGUUGGGGACCUUUGUGAUGGUGGAACUGCCAGAGAUAAAAAAACACUAUUUAGACUUCAAGGGCAGAGAAGCAGAGGACACGGCACAAACACAUGCUGGUAUGACAUCAAAGUAAAUCCAUUAAAACAGGACAUUACAACAAGGACUGAAAUGCAACUAUAAAUCCACACAAUAAUAACAAACAACCAAGCCUCAUAUCAAUAAACAUAUUCAUACAAGUAUGAAAAAUAACAUAUAAGUGAUUAUCUAUCUUUAAAUAAAAAACUUUAGAAUUGUGUAUAAGAUGUGUACUUAAUGUGCUUUGGAGAAGUGUACAACAACAACAACCAAGCCCUAAUAUCCCAGUAAUGGGGUCAGCUACAUGCAUUGAAUCAUUGAAUGACAGAAUUAUGCUCUAUCAUAUAUCUUUGGAGAACGGUCCGGAACUAAAUUUCAACGUCCCGGGAAAUUAAUUUACUUUUUGAGCAAAAAACCAGGAAAUGAAAAUUCAUAUACACCAACACCAUACCAGAAAUAAGUCUACAGGAUCUUCAUAACUUCACCCAGAUCAGAAAAAUGUAAACUUACCAAUGCGUUCUUUAGGUGCAUCGUCAGUUGCAAAGGAAUCAGACCUGGAGAAGUUGCGUUUAAGAGAAACUGGUCCAUCCUUGGGUGUAGUAGUGGAUCUGGGAGUAGUGCCUUGUGGAUUUGGUCCUUUAACUGUAUCAGUAUUCCACCUACGUUGCCUUUUUGCAGGAUCAUUGUUGCAAUCUAAUGUUUGUUCUGUGACACAAUGUUCAAAAUAAGGAUUGUUUAUACACAGAACUGGUACUAACAACAACAUACCAGGAAAGCAACAUAUAUUGCACAUAUAAUUUCUUGCUUGUGCUUAGCAUACAACCAGGAAAUAAAAGGAAGUUUAUUUUUUAGGAUGAAGGUAAAAUAUAAUGCUCACCAUUGAAUUUUCGUUUCUCGACCAGGCCAACUGGACUAAAGUCAAUAUCUUGGUGGGAAUCACUUUUUCCUCCAGAUUGACCAUCUCCCACAACAACAGUAGUGUUUUCCACCUUCACAGUAGGCACUUUAGUACUCUCCACUUUGUCUCUAAGUUCAUCAAAAUUAACCUUAGAGCUCUCGGGCAAAUCCUCCUCCAUGGAAUCAUCACCAGAACUUCUAUCUAAGCUUAACUUCUCUGGAUACCCCACAUCAUCACUAAUAUUGGUUUUGUUCAAGUCUGGACUUGUAAGAACAUUGCUAUUUUCUUCAACAGAUAGCUUUUUCUCAUGUGGCUUUCCAACAUCUAUUGAAUUUGAGUCAUCAUAAACUGGUUUAUUUCUGGACGAUGGUUCUUCCACCAUCUCCGGCCUAACAAUAUCUUGUUCUAAUUUGCCAUUAUCAGUAAUUAUAGUAUCCUUUAGUUCAUUCUUUUUAUUAAUUGAUACAGUAUCACUAAAAAUAGAAUCAGAUUUUACUUGAGACCCUAGUAAACUAGGGUUUACCUCAGAUACCUGGUUUUUAGGAACAGUGGAGUUGGGCAAAAGAUCGUCGUAUUGGGGCUUUGUGUCAGACUCCAGUCGGGGCUUUGAGUGCUCAUUAUCCAGCUGCGCCUUCGACUCCUCAUUCUCCAGCUUGGUCCCUAAAACCUCAGUAUUCUUUUCUGCACCAUUCACCUUCAACUCCUCAUUCUCCAACUUGGUUCCCGAACCGUCAUUAUUCUUAUCUGUGCUGUACUCCUUUAAAUCCUCAUUCUCCAGCUUGGUUCCUGAAUCCUCAAUCUUUUUUUCAGCGCUGUGAGAAUCUUCACCACCAACUACUACUUCCGUCAAUACACUCUCAGUAACAGUGGUGGUGAUGGUCUCCACAACAGUAGUGUGAGUAAUUAGCUCCUCUCCCACAUUUGAAGAAUCAACAACAGCAGGCAACCCCGUAGGUUCAACAUCUUGAUCCAUGGCCGAUGCACUAUUGUCAACUGGAAUGGUAACAUCGUCCUGCUUGUCAUACUUACUGCUGUCAUCAACCACACCCUCUAGAACC